CCUACGGGAGGCAGCAGUGAGGAAUAUUGGUCAAUGGUCGCAAGACUGAACCAGCCAUGCCGCGUGCAGGACGACUGCCCUAUGGGUUGUAAACUGCUUUUAUAUGGGAAGAAACAAACUUACGUGUAAGUUCUUGACGGUACCAUAUGAAUAAGCACCGGCUAACUCCGUGCCAGCAGCCGCGGUAAUACGGAGGGUGCAAGCGUUAUCCGGAUUUAUUGGGUUUAAAGGGUCCGUAGGCGGACUUAUAAGUCAGUGGUGAAAUCCUGCAGCUCAACUGUAGAACUGCCAUUGAUACUGUAAGUCUUGAAUUCGGUUGAAGUGGGCGGAAUAUGGCAUGUAGCGGUGAAAUGCUUAGAUAUGCCAUAGAACACCGAUUGCGUAGGCAGCUCACUAAGCCUGGAUUGACGCUGAGGGACCGAAAGCGUGGGGGAGGCGACGAGAGUAGAUACCUCGUAGUCCGACGACCGUAACGAUAGAUACUCGACAUAGUCGAUAUACGGUUAGUUGUC
rnacentral:rRNA from 1 species